UCGCAGCUUUCUGUUCCCCAUGGGCUUUGGACUGAGGGUCUAUUUCUGGGGGGCCAUUGGCAAGAGGCCACCCUCAACUCUUUGCCAUAUGGGCCUUGCCAGCAUAUCUGGUUGCUUCUUCGAAGCCAGCAAGGGAGACAGUUUCAGCAAGAUGGAUCUCGUAAUCAUACUAUGUAGUCAAGUACAUCCUGUUCUCUUGGUUAGAAGCAAGUCACAGCUACCUACUCUAGAAGACAACAAGAACAAGAAUGGGAAAAUGGCAAAAAGUGGAAACAUUAUAAAAUGGUGUAAAGUAUCAUUCUUGGUCUGCAGUAGUUCCUGACUGCUUUCCUUUGAUGAUAUUUGAAUUUCACAUUUAUUCUGAUGGAGUAUCUUGGCAAUUCUUUCAGAUUCCCUCUGCUUUCCCAGAAGGUCUGAAGAUGUACCCAUUCAGAACGAUGUAUGUUUCUGUGACUCUGGUUGGCACUUUGCAAAUCUAAGGAUCUUAAAAUGGUUUAUGAUCAAUUCUUGGGGUCUCUGCCAUUUGAUUCCUUUUGAGGCUUUUCAUCAUAGUGUGAGAAAAACAUUCUGCAGUCUGUCUGCAUUCUCAGAAAGAAAUGUAAGGCUUAAUGAAUGUUAGAUUUGUAUAUCCAACCUGGUAACCAAUGAGUCCCUAGGCAACUACAAGACCUGAAGUAUCUUCUGGAGUUGACUCGAAAAGAGGAUUCCCACAGAAAUGCUUAAAAUUAGGCCUCAGUCUCAUUGUAUGUCCUGGGAAGUCUUCUCUGUUUCAGAAUAUUUCCUGCGUACCUCACCAUAGCUGUUCUGCCCAAAACCAGCCAGAUACCUCCUAAUAUUGCGGUCUGGAACAGUUUGGAAAGGGAGACAACCCAGCUGUUGACUGUCUCAUUCCACUAGACCAAUGGUGGUUCUGGUCCUUACCACUCUCACUCCUGCAGUCUGAUCCUUUUAAUGAUCUUUAAAUAAGAACUGCUUGUGCUCACGAAGGAAAGAGAAGACAAAAAUCAUGUGACUUCCCGGGGAGGUGUACUCAUAAAAUGCUUAGAUGAUUCUGCAAAAUUAAAAACCAACUUAACCAAAAUCAAACAAAGAUUGGCUCUUUCGGUUUCAGGGAGACUGAAUGGAGGUAAGAUGAGGAAGCAUUUAAGUAACGCUGGCUUCAUGCAUUUAUUAAUUAUCUGCAGACGUUGCUGGGCUCCUCCUCUGUGCUUGCAUGACUAAGGUAAAUGUGGAAUAUGAAGGUUAAUGAGAUAUGACGUGUGCCCUCAAGGAACUCAGAUUAGCAAUUACAACUCUCCUUAACCAGAACUCUAAAAGGUUGUCAGGGUGACAGUUGAGUGAGGAACAGCUGUCAUGCCGUGUAUGUUUAUGAAAGUUCAUACAUUUUACUUAGCAGUGAAGGGGUUCAACAACUUUUGGUAAAUUAAACUGUUUUCAGACAGUCAUGGUAUGUACAUUAUUUGUCCUAAGGGACUGAAGAUUGGAUACCAUACAAAAAGAUAGUGCACAACGCACCUCUUGAGACUUAUUAUCUGGCUAGAGAGGAGAAAAUCUAUGUGUGUGAGAUAAUUUGAGAGCAUUUCAAGGCAGUGUUAUAUAUGAAUGCUGAGCUACCAUUGUGUAGGCCUCUAUGACCAAGUGCUUCGGUACUCUUUAUUUUGAUUCGCACAGUAGAGCUGAUAUCGUGGACUUGUUACUAACUUACUAUUUUCAUUUAAUAGAUGGAGAAAUUAGUGCACCAAGUCGUUAAGCAAUGGCUUUGUGUGGUAGCAGGUGAGUGGGUAAUGAGGGACUAGACCCAGCUCUCCCAACACCUAGCUCACUGUUCUUUUCAGGAGACCAUACUACAUAUGGUGCAGAGAAAUAUACUAACGUCCAAAGAGCCUUUGGGAAGAGAAAAAGAGCUCCAGUUAGUCCUGGAGGGAGUUGGGAAGUGAUUUAGGGAUCAGUUAGAUUAACUUCUUGUUCUCUUGAACAAAUGUGUCAAAAUGUCAAGCUGUCUGUGGAUAAUUUGGAAAACCAUAUUCAUCCUCAAUAUAUUUACAAAGUUUCAUUCCAAAGACCAAAUAGUUUCAUGUUCAUGCUUUUAUAUCAGCAAACUUAAAAUUAGAUUUAGUGUUAAGUGAGAAAGAGAAAGAGCUCAGGAAGGUUCUCUGCUUGUGUUGGAGCUAAGUUCUCUCACACAAAGAGUAGACUCUAGGAAAUUUUAUUUCUUUUAAUUUAUUAUUUUUUUAAGAUUUCAUUUAUUUAUUUGGCAGAGAGAGAGACAGCCUAGAGAAGGAACACAAGCGGGGGGAGUGGGAGAGGGAGAAGCACACUUCCCACUGAGCAGGGAGCCUGGCAUGGGUCUCUGUCCCAGGUCCCUAGGAUGACGACCGGAGCUGAAGGCAGACACUAACUGAGCCACCCAGGUGCCCCUCCAGGAACUUUUGAAUGACGGUUUCACAUGUGACGAGAAAGGGUCUUACACCCUAAAUGUGCCCUAGUUCUGCUUUCUGUUGCUUGAACUCCUACCAUAAUUCUAUUUCUUAAUCACGAAGGUUUGGUCCAAUUUAGUUUGACAGACAGUUUUAUAGUGCACCAUUGGGUAAGGCACCAUACUAAGAUUUGAAGAGAAUAUAAGCUCAAAUAUUUUAUUAUUAGACUCAGUCAAUAAAAUUAAUCUGAUAAAUUAUUAUAAGAAUUUCUGAAUGUUCAUUCUCAAUUUUUGUACUUAGCUUCAUUGCAGAGCAGCAGUAUUUUGUGGAUUGAUACCCUGUGCAGACCACCCUUUGAGUAGCGCAUGUUAGAGCUCAGGUGAGAAGUAACCAGGACCCCUGGACCCCACCAGUAGCCCAGGUAUACUAGUCAGGAUGCGCUGGACUAUGAUGCUGUUGGUUCACAACCCAAGAAUUUCCCUGGAUGAAAUCUGAAACUGGCCCUAUACGCAGAGGACAGGGAGAAAACGUAGCAAACCACUCCAGAUUGGCAGUUUUAAUAAACAAGGAAACUUACAUACAAGGUUUAUCUUGGGCGGCCACAAGAUGAGUAGGUCUCCCCAUCCACCUUGCCAAAAUCUUGGAAGUUUAUAUAGAGGCCUUAACUAGAUUCAGUCACAUCUGCUGUUCAGAUGGUUUCAACAACAUGUUACUGUCUCAAGGCUGCAUCCUUGAGAUGGCUCCCACUGUGGAAAUGGUGGCAGAGUGUAUGUGCCAAGGAUAGGGGAAAAGGUGAGGAGCCUCUGAUUACCUGGUCCAGCUCUUGGGUCAACCUGUGGUCAUGUCCUCUUGAUGACAUGCAGUAAUAAUGAGUGAAAUAGUUUAACAAAUGUUUAUUUCUUCCUCACAUUACAAAUCCAUCGUACAUAGACUUGGAGUCCUUACUCUGGAAUCAAGUCAACAGAGCCUCUGUCAUCUGGAAUGUGGUCAGGUCCAAUGGCAGGAAGAAAAAGUGUGGUGGUGUCACAACUAAAUACUUCCUCCAAAUGCAACAGAUGUCAGCUCUGCCCACCUUCUAUUGGCCAAAACAAGCCAUAUGGCCGGCCCUGAUCAACUUCCAGGAGAGGAGGUACAAUUCCACCAUGUUCCUGGACCAAGGAGAAGAAAUAGAGAACAGCACUUUCAGAGAACAGGAAGGAGAGGAGAAAUAGCAAGGAGGAAAAGGAGGCUCCAAUUUGGAUCCCAGAGCGCUGGUGCGUGCAGCCUUGCCUCCAAACACCAGUCAUGAUGCUGAAGAUGCUGAUGAUAAUUCUAGGGAUGCUACACCUCCUGCGGCAGACUCAAGGCAGAGAGCUGUGAGCAGUGGUUAAAGCAUGGCCAUAUCCUUUACCAGUGACUAACUCUUCUCUCAUAUUCCCUCCUCUCCCUUUGAUGCAUGGCAGGUCUGUAACUUGCUAGGAGCAUGUCCUGAUAUCUCAGCAGUGUCCAUGUUAAAUGGUGGCAAAUUCCUGUUCUUAUAAACUGUUCUUAUAAACAAAAUGACUCUAGUAUCAUUGAGACAACAGUCAAUGUGUCUUGUCCCAAUAAUAUUACUUAUCAGCCCACUCCCAUAUGCGUCUGGCCACCGUUCCCUUUCCUCGUAACAAAUGCUAGCAAGCUGAAUGAUACGUUGAAUUGCACUAAGAAUUGCUGUCUUUCCCAGUGCUGGAAUGUCACGGCCUUCAAGCUGGCUGUGAUUAUACGUAUCCCUACCCAUGUUCCUAUCCCAGUUUCCAUUCCAGAGGACAAGUUACCGGUGGUGCUAUCCAGAAAGAAGAGAGAUUUUGGUAUCACAGCCACCGUUGUGACAGCAUUGGCUAUAUCUACAGCAGCUGCCACGGCAGCAGCAGUCUCGCUUGCUACAACUAUACCCACUGCGGAAGCUGUGAACACCCUUGCAGAAGGAACGGCGGCUGCCCUUCAAACACAGACUCAGAUCAAUGCACAUCUGCAAGCAGGAAUCCUGAUAGUCAACCAGAGAGUGGAUUUGGUUCAAGAACAAGUGGACAUAUGGGGGGCCCUAUGGGGACUGGGAUGUAUAGUACCCUUCCCGGGAAUUUGUGUAACUCCCAUAGCCUAUACUAAUAUGAGUGACUUAAAGAAUGUCUCCCAACAGCUCUCCCAAUACUUGCGGGGGAAUUAGUCCGCAGAAUUCCAAAACUAGACUCAGCACCUGGUACUAGGCAUAACAAGGAUAAAUAACACCAAAGUUGAGCUUGCAACCCUCCCAGAGAUAAUCAAAACAUUGCAACAUGUGUUAACCUUUACGAAACAAUGGGCUAACGUAAUUGGUCUGAUGAUAAUCCUCGUAGUGGGCUUGAUUCUGCUAGUAAGGAAACUACAAAUUUGGAGGCGACAGCAACAUAGGCAACAGCAAGCCAUGGUGCAGGCCUUGUUAGCCAUCGAGGCUGGAACAUCCCCCCAAGUGUGGCUAAGUAUGCUGGAUCAGUAGUCAACGACGGGUAAGAUUGGUGGGGGAAAUAUACCAACCUAAGACAGGAUGCAGAUCAUUGAUAUCUGCCGUCUGAUGACGGGUAAGGAUAGUCCCCGCCACUGACAACCUAAGACAGGCACGAUCCCUGCCAUAAAAGAAAAAAGGGGGAGAUGUCGGAGGCAGGCCCCUGGCCAGGGCAGCCUCUGCCAUUAAAAGAUGGCGCCUGGCUAGUUGCCAGGUUAGGAUUGCCUCAUGAGACUAAGCGGAACGCCCAAAGAGGAAGUAAACAGCAUUGGUUGCUAGCGAAGUUGUUCGUUUAGGUGCACCGCCUGAUUCGCUCCCUCCUGUACCCUGCUCGCUGAUUGGUCAUGUAAGCAUAUAUAAGUGUGUAGACUUGCGGAAAUAAAGAGAGAGAAGAGAAAGAAGAUGCAUCCGAACUGGGGCUUCUUGUCGUCCUUGCGGGCCGAGGGCGAUAUAUCUUGAUUGUGGUGGAGGUUACAUGUGCAGUUAUAGUUUCAAAACUCACCAAACUUACACUUAAAACAAGUACAUAUUAUUUUAUGUAAAUUAUACCUUAAUACAGUUGAUUUAAACAAAA